rnacentral:rRNA from 1 species
UACGUAAGGGGCAAGCGUUAUCCGAAAUUACUGGGCGUAAAGCGUCCGCAGCCGGAAUAGUAAGUCUAGUGUAAAAUCCUCUGGCUCAACCAGAGAAUCGUACUGGAUACUGCUAAUCUAGAGUUACAUAGAGGUGCGUGGAAUUCAUCGUGUAGGGGUAAAAUCCGUUGAUAUGAUGAGGAACACCAAAAGCGAAGGCAGCGCACUGGAUGUAUACUGACGGUCAGGGACGAAAGCGUGGGGAGCAAAAAGG